rnacentral:rRNA from 1 species
GAUGAACGCUGGCGGCGUGCCUAACACAUGCAAGUCAACGGAAACAGAUCUAGUUUACUAGAUGCUGUCGAGUGGCGGACGGCUGAGUAACGCGUGGGAACGUGCCCCAAAGUGAGGGAUAACGCACCGAAAGGUGUGCUAAUACCGCAUAUGGUCUUCGGAUUAAAGAAUUUAUUCGCUUUGGGAGCGGCCUGCGUCGGAUUAGGUUGUUGGUGAGGUAAUGGCUCACCAAGCCGACGAUCCGUAGCUGGUCUGAGAGGAUGACCAGCCAGACUGGAACUGAGACACGGUCCAGACUCCUACGGGAGGCAGCAGUGAGGAAUCUUCCACAAUGGGCGAAAGCCUGAUGGAGCAACGCCGCGUGCAGGAUGAAGGCCUUCGGGUUGUAAACUGCUUUUAUAAGUGAGGAAUAUGACGGUAACUUAUGAAUAAGGAUCGGCUAACUACGUG